GGAUUAGAUACCCUAUUAUUUUAGAUUUAAAAAUUUAAUUUGAGUAGUAUUAGUUAUGAUCUUUAAACUUAAAGAAUUUGGCGGUAUUUUAGUCUAGUUAGAGGAAUCUGUUCCAUUAUCGAUAAUCCACGUUGAACCUUACUCAGUAUUAUUUAAUAUGUAUAUCGCCGUUUAUUUGAAGAUCUUUUUAGGGUUAAAUUUUCUUUAGAUUAUAAUAAAUUUUAUUUCAGGUCAAGGUGCAGUUGAUAAUUGAGUGGUAAUGGAUUACAAUAUUUAUAAGGUAAACGGAUUAUGAUUUGAAAUUAUUUUAUAAAGGUGGAUUUGAUAGUAAUUAAUAAUUAGAUUUAUUUUUGUGAUUUUAGCUCUAAAAUGUGCACACAUCGCCCGUCACUCUCGUUAUUAAGAUGAGAUAAGUC
rnacentral:rRNA from 1 species